rnacentral:rRNA from 1 species
AUAACUGUGGUAAUUCUAGAGCUAAUAUUUUAAAGAAUGCCGUGACUCACGAAGCGGCGGAUUUAUUAGAUCAAAACUAAUCUAUCGCAAGAUAGAAUUUUGAUGACUCUGGAUAACUUUACUGAUCGUACAACAUUUAGUUGACGACAUAUCUCUUGAAAUGGCUGACCUAUCAACUUUAGAUGGUAAGAUCAAAGCUUACCAUGGUUGUAACGGGUAACGGGGAAUCAGUGUUCGAUUCCGGAGAGGGAGCCUGAGAAACGGCUACCACAUCCACGGAAGGCAGCAGGCGCGAAAAUUACCCAAUACCGGUUCGGUGAGGUAGUGACAAUAAAUAACAAUAUGGACCAUUAUUGGUUUCAUAAUUGCAAUGAGAACAUUUUAAAUACUUUAUCAAGUAUCAAUUGGAGGGCAAGUCUGGUGCCAGCAGCCGCGGUAAUUCCAGCUCCAAUAGCGUAUAUUAAAGUUGUUGCAGUUAAAAAGCUCGUAGUUGAAAUUGAGGAACUGAAUUAAUGAACUGUCAUUGAUGGAUUGUUAAUUCUUCCUUCGUCGUCGUGUAUAUUAUAGAGUCACUUAAUUGGGAUUUUAUAAUGACCGACAAGUUUACUUUGAAAAAAUUAGAGUGCUUAAAGCAGGCUUAUGCUUGCAUAUUGUUGCAUGGAAUAAUGAAAUAAGACUUUGGUUUUAUUUUGUUGGUUUUCGAAACUAAAGUAAUGAUUAAAAGAGACUGCCGGGGGCAUAUGUAUGCUGGUGCUAGAGGUGAAAUUCUUAGACCAUCAGCAGACAAUCUACU